UCAAGUGCUAGCGUUAGUCUUAGAUUCUAAGAGCACUGACCUGAGAGACACAUUUUCUCAUUAGAAUCUAUUCUUCUAAUUGGCAAAAAUUAUGUUCAUACUUUAUAUUAGAAUCUUUAAAGUAGAUGAGUGACACAGUUAUGAUUCUAAAGAAACUUAAAGAGUGAAUAACAAAGUGGCUUUAAUAAAGAACUCCCCAGAUCUUGUACUAGCACUUAGCUCUUUCUCCCCAAUCAUCUUUGGCUUCCAUUCUGACAUAUACUACUUAUGCAACAUGCAUACUCCCAUCAUUCUUGACCAUAUAGUUCUGCUUUUGUCUCAAAGGAUGGGGCCUAACUGCGUGGUUGAUUUUCACCCAAGCACCAUCAAUCAAAAAGGACCCUGCCAUGCUUUUCUGACAUAUAAUGUACACAGAGAAGUCCAUUACUGAACAGAAAAUACCUGCGAAGUUUGCUUUCUUAACUCCUCAGAAGUGAUCAUUUUGUUGAGCCAAGUGAGCUUUUUGGUACCACCCAGGUUCGGGAUUUCAUGAUUCUGUGAGUCAAUGGUGCUAUACAGGCUGACAGUUUCAAUCUUACCUGGCCAGUUGUUCAGAGUUACGGAAAACCUCACCCUCUUUAUGGGGUCUCCUGGCUCAGAAUUUCUGCCAUAUCUGGCAUGGGGUGCACAAAUAGAAGAAUAUCUUCUACUUAAAGACAGAAGAUGUUGUCUGGGUCUCUGUGACUACCUGGGGGAGGGUAAGAAAGCCAACAGACUCUCCAUGUGUUCCAAAAGGUAAUUGAACUCAGGCGCCAAGAGAGGCAGAGGAAAAGCCAGUCUGAGAAUACAAAUAUCAUUUCUUCCGGAAUCCAACACACUGGCUUCAUUUUCAAGAUGUAUCACUUUAUUUUCCAGCACGUGACAGUCACAUGAUUUCUGCAGUGAGCCCCAAAGCUUCCACGAGCUUUCCUGGAACCUACGGCCAGAAGAGUCCUGAGAUUUCGAAUAUUAAAGCUUUCUCC
rnacentral:lncRNA from 10 species